rnacentral:misc_RNA from 1 species
CUCGACAAUGCCCACGCGGUUGACAUCCAGCCCUCGAAUGAUCGGGCGGCUCGAUGCACCGGGCGCGAACGAUGAUCCGGUGAUGCCCGGCUUGUUAUUGAGAAGAUCGCCGAGGGUCGAAGCCGCGCUGCGGCGGAUUUCCUCAUUGGGCACCACGGUAACGGUGGCGAACUGAUCGGUGACGAUCGGCAGGGUGCCGGCAUAGGUCUCAGGAUUAGGUGCAGGUGCUGCGGGUGAUGGCGCUGCGGCUGUGGUGCGGCC